GCCUGGCUGGCUCAGUGGGUAGAGCAUGUGACUCUCAAUCUCAGGGUCAUGAGUUCAAGCCUCACGAUGGGCA